rnacentral:rRNA from 1 species
CGAACGGCUGAGUAACACGUGGGCAACCUGCCCUUUGCACUGGGAUAGCCUCGGGAAACCGAGGUUAAUACCGGAUACUCCAUAUUUGUCGCAUGGCGAAUAUGGGAAAGCUCCGGCGGCAAAGGAUGGGCCCGCGGCCUGUUAGCUAGUUGGUGGGGUAGUGGCCUACCAAGGCAAUGAUGGGUAGCCGGGUUGAGAGACCGACCGGCCAGAUUGGGACUGAGACACGGCCCAGACUCCUACGGGAGGCAGCAGG